AUGGUCACCAUUCAAGACCAAACAAUUAGUCAGAUUCUGCAAAUCGACAUGGAAUACCACAGAAUCCAGGAACUGAAUUCAUAAUUAAAUAUCAGGUUAACAUCACCGCAAAGCUGAUCCAGAGGGAAAGCGAAGGACAUGCCUUCCUUCAGGAUGAUGUCUUGUUAGAAAAGGCAGUCUACACCAUAGCGGACACCACAGGAAUAAUGGAGCUCACUGUCUGGGGCGAGCAAAACC